UUAAAUCUGUCCGGCACAUUUUGCGGUCUGAGCAGGGUCACGUGGCCCUGCUCCGCACCGGGCACCCCCCCCCUUACAACCUUGUUUGAUUUCUGCGACUUCAAGGCAGAGCCUCCUGAGCUCAUCCAGGCGCCCCAGAGAUGGCUGAUUUCUUCUCACCUUGAUCUUGGAACUACAGGUGCGAGCCACGGCUCCUGGCCUAGCACAGUGGCUGAGCCCAGUGCUGGGAUGGAGGAUGGGGAAUGGGUGCUCCUGAACUGCUGAUUGGCUGAUCCCUAUCACCCACCAGAAGCUGCAGGGGAAAAUGACAAGGGCAGCAGAUACCAGUGCUCUCAGUCCAGGACCUUCUGGACUUCAAAAUGCUUUCAAGCACCCGCCUUCUCUGCAUCCCCAACAUGGAGCUGGCGAAUACAAAGCCAGGUCAGGAAUGGCCCUAGGACCCCCACCCCAGCCCCCCAGUUUGCAUUCAUUUGGUUCCUGAGCUAGGACACCCCUCCAGCUCCAGCAUCUGGCUGCUGCGAUGGGGGCCAGGGGCUUCCAGGCUGCUCUGUCCUUGCACAUCAAUUUUACCACCUGCCAGACGCCAGGAGAGGGCAUAUGAAAUAUAAAAUGAGUUGAGGCAUAAAAGUGUUUUGGAAUAAAAAUGAUGUGCACUGGCAAGGGAUUACAGUUAUUACAAGGACCAUGCGCUGACGCCAUCACUCACACCUAGGAGUGGGAGAGUGUGGUCGCCUGCCGACAGAGGCAGCAGCCAGCGUGCCUCCUCCUCUAGGGACAGGGCUGCAGGUGGAGUGAAGCCAGCCCUCAGGGAGUGUCCAGGGCUCUGGAGUGGUGGCUCACAAUGCAGGGCCGGCGCAGUAGCUGACGCCUGAAAUUCCAGCACUUUGGAAGGCCGAGGCGGGCGGAUCACCUGAGGUCAGGAGUUUGAGACCAGCCUGGCCAA